rnacentral:rRNA from 1 species
GAUGAACGCUGGCGGCGUGCCUAAUACAUGCAAGUCGAGCGAACGGACGAGAAGCUUGCUUCUCUGAUGUUAGCGGCGGACGGGUGAGUAACACGUGGAUAACCUACCUAUAAGACUGGGAUAACUUCGGGAAACCGGAGCUAAUACCGGAUGAUAUUUUGAACCGCAUGGUUCAAAAGUGAAAGACGGUCUUGCUGUCACUUAUAGAUGGAUCCGCGCUGCAUUAGCUAGUUGGUAAGGUAACGGCUUACCAAGGCAACGAUGCAUAGCCGACCUGAGAGGGUGAUCGGCCACACUGGAACUGAGACACGGUCCAGACUCCUACGGGAGGCAGCAGUAGGGAAUCUUCCGCAAUGGGCGAAAGCCUGACGGAGCAACGCCGCGUGAGUGAUGAAGGUCUUCGGAUCGUAAGACUCUGUUAUUAGGGAAGAACAUAUGUGUAAGUAACUGUGCACGUCUUGACGGUACCUAAUCAAAAAGCCACGGCUAACUACGUA